GCAUAUCAAUUAAGCGGAAGGAAAAAGAAAAAUAACAAUGAUUUCCCUAGUAACGGGCGAGUGAACAGGAAAAAAGCUCAAAGUUGGAACCUGUUUGGCCUAGCUAAACCGGAUUGUAAACUGUAGAAGUGUUUUCCAGGCAAGCCGGACCGAUAAGUCCUUUGGAACAGGGCAUCAUAGAGGGUGAGAAUCCCGUCUUCGGUCUGAGCAUUUGCCUUUUGCGAUACACUUUCAAAGAGUCAGGUUGUUUGGGAAUGCAGCCUAAAUUGGGUGGUAAAUCUCACCUAAAGCUAAAUAUUGGCGAGAAACCGAUAGCGAACAAGUACCGUGAGGGAAAGAUGAAAAGAACUUUGAAAAGAGAGUUAAACAGUAUGUGAAAUUGUUAAAAGGGAACCGUUUGGAGCCAGACUGGCUUGUCUGUAAUCAGUCUAAGUUUCGGCUUGGAUGCACUUGCAGGCUAUGCCUGCCAACGACAAUUUGGCUUGAGGGAAAAAACUAGGGGAAAUGUGGCCCAUUCGUGGGUGUUAUAGUCCCUUAGAAAAUACCUUGGGCUGGAUUGAGGUACGCAGCGAAUGCUAUUUGGCGAGUUGGCUGGGAAUAUUUUCUGAGGUGCUCUGGUACUGAGGUUGAUAUUCCUAGUUACACUUCUAUUCGCUUAGGUUGUUGGCUUAAUGACUCUAAAUGACCCGUCUUGAAACACGGACCAAGGAGUCCACCAUUAGUGCAAGUGUUUGGGUGCCAAACCCAUACGCGUAAGGAAACUGAUUGAUACGAAUCCGCAAGGAGGCAGUAUCGUCCGGCGCUGACGUUUUAUACUGAAUUGACCGAGACAAAGCACUAAUGAUGGGACCCGAAAGAUGGUGAACUAUGCCUGAAUAGGGUGAAGCCAGAGGAAACUCUGGUGGAGGCUCGUAGCGAUUCUGACGUGCAAAUCGAUCGUCAAAUUUGGGUAUAGGGGCGAAAGACUAAUCGACCAUCUAGUAGCUGGUCUGCGA
rnacentral:rRNA from 1 species